rnacentral:tRNA from 1 species
CAAGUUUUAAUUUAAUUGCAAAAUAAGUGGUUGUUGCCCACUGAAUGAGGGGAUUUCUCUCAAACUUGA